rnacentral:rRNA from 1 species
CGAGCGAGGCGCGGUAGCAAUACCGCAGUCGAGCGGCGAACGGGUGAGUAACACGUGGGUGACCUGCCUCGAGGUGGGGGAUAACCCGGGGAAACUCGGGCUAAUACCGCAUAACAUCGCAAGAUCAAAGGUGGCGCAAGCUACCGCCGCGAGAGGGGCCCGCGCCCGAUUAGCUAGUUGGUGAGGUAACGGCUCACCAAGGCGACGAUCGGUAGCCGGCCUGAGAGGGCGUUCGGCCACACUGGAACUGAGACACGGUCCAGACUCCUACGGGAGGCAGCAGUGGGGAAUUUUGCGCAAUGGGGGCAACCCUGACGCAGCAACGCCGCGUGGAGGAUGAAGGUCCUUGGAUUGUAAACUCCUGUCAGCAGGGAAGAAGCUAACCCGGGCAAAUAGUCCGGAGUGGUUGACGGUACCUGCAGAGGAAGCCCCGGCUAACUCUGUGCCAGCAGCCGCGGUAAUACAGAGGGGGCAAGCGUUAUUCGGAAUUAUUGGGCGUAAAGGGCGCGUAGGCGGCUUCGCAAGUGGUGGGUGAAAUCCCUCGGCUUAACCGAGGAACUGCCCUCCAGACUGCGUUGCUGGAGUCCGGGAGAGGUGAGUGGAAUUCCCAGUGUAGCGGUGAAAUGCGUAGAUAUUGGGAGGAACACCAGUGGCGAAGGCGGCUCACUGGACCGGAACUGACGCUGAGGCGCGAAAGCGUGGGGAGCAAACGGGAUUAGAUACCCCGGUAGUCCACGCCGUAAACGAUGAGUGCUUGGUGUAGCGGGUAUCGACCCCUGCUGUGCCGAAGUCAACACAUUAAGCACUCCGCCUGGGGAGUACGGUCGCAAGGCUGAAACUCAAAUGAAUUGACGGGG